UACGUAGGUGACAAGCGUUGUCCGGAUUUACUGGGCGUAAAGAGCGCGCAGGCGGUCGAUCAAGUCGAGUGUGAAAGCCCCCGGCUCAACUGGGGAGGGUCACUCGAUACUGAUCGACUCGAAGGCAGAAGAGGGAAGCGGAAUUCCCGGUGUAGUGGUGAAAUGCGUAGAUAUCGGGAGGGAACACCAGUGGCGAAGGCGGCCUGCUGGGCAGUAGCUGACGCUGAUGCGCGACAGCGUGGGGA
rnacentral:rRNA from 1 species